rnacentral:rRNA from 1 species
UCUGAACGCUGGCGGCGUGGCUAAGACAUGCAAGUCGUACGGUGUAGCAAUACACAGUGGCGGACGGGUGAGUAAAGUAUCGCUAAUGUACCCCGAUGUCUGGGAUAGCCAGUCGAAAGAUUGGGUAAUACCGGAUAAGACCACAGAACCGCAUGGUUCGGUGCUCAAAGGGUCACCGCAUUGGGCGCAGGCGAUAUCGUAUCAGCUAGUUGGUGAGGAACGGCUCACCAAGGCGACGACGCGUAGCCGGGCUGAGAGGUCGGCCGGCCACAUUGGGACUGAGACACUGCCCAGACUCCUACGGGGGGCUGCAGUAACGAAUCUUCCGCAAUGCACG